rnacentral:rRNA from 1 species
GACGGAAGGUGCAAGCGUUGCUCGGAAUCACUGGGCGUAAAGGGUGCGUAGGUGGCGGGACAAGCGUGCGGUGAAAGCCUGGGGCUCAACCCCGGGUCGGCCGUGCGAACUGUUUGGCUUGAGCACUGUAGAGGCAGCGGAAUUCCGGGUGUAGCGGUGGAAUGCGUAGAGAUCCGGAGGAAGACCGGUGGCGAAGGCGGUCUGCUGGGCCGUUGCUG